rnacentral:rRNA from 1 species
GCGGCGGACGGGUGAGUAACGCGUAGGAAUCAACCCAGUAGCGGGGGAUAGCCCGGGGAAACUCGGAUUAAUACCGCAUACGCCCUAAGGGGGAAAGCAGGGGAUCUUCGGACCUUGCACUAUUGGAUGAGCCUGCGUUGGAUUAGCUAGUUGGUAGGGUAAAGGCCUACCAAGGCGACGAUCCAUAGCUGGUCUGAGAGGAUGAUCAGCCACACCGGAACUGAGACACGGUCCGGACUCC